ACGGUGGGUGAAAAAGUUGAGAAGCUGGAUACUAAGUAGAAGGAACCUGAAGCCAAGAAGGCUGUUGCUAAUGGCAAGGUGAAAAAGGGUAAGAAAAGGCCAAAAAGGGGAAGCCUCAUUGCAACUGAAGUCCUGUCUUCAUCAGAGAAAUUGGCAGAUAUUCCCAAUCUGCUAUGUAUUGUGGAAAGGUUAUGUACAAGAGGAAGUAUUCAGCCAGUAAAUCAAAGAUUGAAAAGAAAAAGGAGAAGGUUUAAUACAAAAGCAGUUGGUGGUGACAAAGUUGAAGGUACUCAGGUGGUUACACUUUGCAAAAUGCAUAGCUAUUAUCCUACUGAAGAUGUGCGCUGAACGCUGUUGAGCCACAGCCAAAAAUCUUUCAGUCAGCACGGAGAAAACUGCGAGGCAGCAUCACUCCCAGGACUAUUCUGUCCAUCCCCCCUGGGCACCACAGAGGCAAGAGGGUGGUUUUCGUGAAGGAGCUGGGCAGUGGCUUCUCACUUGUGACUGGAUCUUUGGUUCUCAGUUGAGUUCUUCUAUGAAGAACACACAAGAAAUUUGUCAUUGCCACCUCCACAAAAGUUGUUAUCAGCAAUGUGAAAAUCCUAAAACAUCUUACUCAUACUUACUUCAAGAAGAAGAAGCUGUGGAAGCCCAGACACUGGGAAGGUGAGAUCAUCAACAAAGGAAAAAGAAAAGGAGAUUACAGAGCAGUGCAAGGUUGAUCAGAAAGCAGUGGACUUGCAAAUUUUACUAAAAAUCAAAGCGAUUCCUUAGCUCCAGGGCUACCUAUGAUCUGUGUUUUCCCAGAUAAAUGAAAUUUAUUCUCAAAAAUUGGUGUUCUAA
rnacentral:lncRNA from 1 species